GUUGAUGUAGCUCAGUGGUAGAGUGCAUGCCUUGUAUGCAUGAUGUCCUGGGUUAAAUCCCCAGCUUCUCUC
rnacentral:tRNA from 1 species